AACGCAUAUUGCGCUCUCUGGUAUUCCGGAGAGCAUGCUUGUUUGAGUAUCAGUAAACACCUCAAGUCUCGAGAUAUUUUAUAUUUCGAGACUUGGAUUUGAGUGAUCCUAACUACAAGUCGUCUUUUUUGACGGCUAGAAGGCAGGUCACUUGAAAUUCAGGUGCAGCUGAACUUUUCUUCUGAGCUAAAAGCAUUAUUUUAUUUAGUCUUUAUUGACUAUUACUUUUUGCUGCAGCUAAUAUAAAGGGAGAAUCGUUUCUUAAUGCUGACUGAUGCAGGAAUUUAUCAGUUUCUCGUAAAAAAGGACUGUUAGACUCGAUCUCAAAUCAAGUAAGACUACCCGCUGAACUUAA
rnacentral:misc_RNA from 1 species